rnacentral:misc_RNA from 1 species
GAUGAAGAACGUAGCGAAAUGCGAUAAGUAAUGCGAAUUGCAGAAUUCCGUGAGUCAUCGAAUCUUUGAACGCACAUUGCACCGCUCGGUACUCCGGGAGGUAUGCCUGUUCGAGCGUCAUUUGUACCCUCAAGCUCUGCUUGGUGUUGGGUGUUUGUUCCGCCUCUGUGUGUGAACUCGCCUCAAAACAAUUGGCAGCCGGCGUACUUGUUUCGGAGCGCAGCACAUUUUGCGAUCCAGAUCAACGUACAGCGGCAUCCAAGAAGCCUUAUUUAACGCUCUUGACCUCGGAUCAGGUAGGGAUACCCGCUGAACUUAAGCAUAUCAAUAAGCGGAGGA